rnacentral:tRNA from 1 species
GCUCGUGUAGCUCAGUGGUAGAGCACUUCCUUGGUAAGGAAGAGGUCAUGGGUUCAAUCCCCAUCACGAGCUCCA